rnacentral:rRNA from 1 species
UCGGGAAUUUUGGGCAAUGGGCGAAAGCCUGACCCAGCAACGCCGCGUGAAGGAUGAAGUAUUUCGGUAUGUAAACUUCGAAAGAAUAGGAAGAAUAAAUGACGGUACUAUUUAUAAGGUCCGGCUAACUACGUGCCAGCAGCCGCGGUAAUACGUAGGGACCAAGCGUUGUUCGGAUUUACUGGGCGUAAAGGGCGCGUAGGCGGCAAUUCAAGUCAUCUGUGAAAUCUCCGGGCUUAACUCGGAACGGUCAGAUGAUACUGCUUUGCUAGAGUGCAGAAGGGGCAAUCGGAAUUCUUGGUGUAGCGGUGAAAUGCGUAGAUAUCAAGAGGAACACC